rnacentral:lncRNA from 1 species
UUUUGUUUGUAUAAAAUGAAAAUGAGUUUCAUAUAGUGCUAUUUAGUGCUCCACUAAGUCUAAAUUGGAACCAAGUCUCUCAUUUUUUAUUUUAUAUAAUAAUUAACUUCUCAUAAUUAAAAAUUAAUCUCCAAAGUUUUAUUUUUUUGUCUUAACCCCUUAUUCAAUAUUCACUUCCUUUGUUAACAAUAGAUUUCGGUUCAUUCAGAAUGACAUCUUUGAUUAGUAACAAAAGUGAAGCUUAAAAGAUGUAUUCACGUAACCGCGUCUGAAAUUUGGACCAUUUUUAGCUAUGUACUUGUAUCAUAUAUUUUAGAAAAUAAAAUAUCCGACACUUAGAUACGUACCCGUACUUGAUACCUGCAUCCAAGUUCGAGCAUCACAGGCUUUGAAAUAAUUGUUGGGCUUACCAGUUGGAUUGGCAUUUGGCAAUGUAUAAAUUGACAUAGUUUUGAUGCAUACACCCUCAUUUGGAAACAGGCAGUUUUACUAGUUUCGUCAAGAAAGAAAGCUCAAAGUUCUCCAAAAAUCACUUCCACACAAGCACUAAAUUGUCCAUUUAAGCUUUUCUAUCUUGUAGUCUUUUUUCUACUGUUUAAGUUUCUUGAAUUGUUUUUUUAGUAGUUUUCUUUUAUAAAAAUAUUUUUGAUACCAAAAGGCUUUAGUGCAAUGUCUUGGAGCCAUUGCCUUGCAUCUUAUCCUCCAAAGCCACAUUUGGCACUCCAGAUUAAGCUAUAUAAAAAUUUUAGUGGAUAUUAUUGGAUAGAUGGGAUUAUAAUGUAUUUAAGGUUGAUAGUAUCCAUUAAUUUUUAUUCAAAAAAAAUGUCAUUUACCAUGCCCCUAUUUGAUACCGCUAAAAAAUCUUAUCAAAAUCUAAGUUAAAGUUAAUAAUUAACAACAUAUUGCAUUGGACUUACAAUUUUUCGACCAUACAUUCCAUCAACUUUUAUCAAAUAGGGGUUAUAUCUUCCUUCCUCAUCCAGCCUAAACCAGCCUUAACCUUUGUAUUUUAUUAUACGGUCGAUGGUGCAAAUGACUCUCUUUUGAAUGAAAAUUUGAAAAACACUUUUCACCUUAAUACUCCAUAAUACCAUUUGCAUUUUACUAUCCAUUAUAAUUUUAUGCAAAAUUCCUUAUACGAUCAAAUUCGGUGUGCCAAACAUAGCCCAAAAGCAUUGAUCCCUACACUAGUAUGGAGUGUGAAAUGCCCUUACUAUUUCUGUGGUGAAGGUUGUGUCCAAACUCUCGCAUUUUGGAGACUAUGGUUCAUAAUUUUAAUCGAUAGAAUCUCUCACUUGAAAUAAGUCAAACGAGUGAUUUUAACUCAUUUCUAACCACUUGUAAAUCAUAUUAAAAAAUAAAUAAAAAUGGCUUAGCCUUCCAAUUUCUCAUCCCCUUCAAACAUUUCUCCUACUGAAGCAUUUGCAAUUUUUUGCGUUUGUUGAGAGCAUUUUUUGUAUCUAGUACUCGCGAUAUUACUAGCUGAGAUAAAAAAAUGUGUGGAACAUUCUUUGAUUUGCAAUAUCAAUAUUGAUUUUCCUAUGUGGUUUUGAUUUUUUUACAUGCCAGGGAUGAAAAUUGCAUUUCUCAUUUUGUUUGAGUUAUUAGGUGAAAAUUCCAUUUUACUUAUUUUUGUAAUGUGCUAUGGAAUGGCUUAGCCCCCCUAAAUUACAAAUGAUGUCAGGUUGCCACCUAUAAGAAAUCGGCAGACAGCAGAUUUCUAGGACAAUCUGGCUAUAUUCUGAGGAUAGCCGCUCCCCCAAUAUGAGUACUGAAGCUGGAUUCCUUGUGCAUUUCGUUUUCCUUUUGAAUUUUUGUUAGAAGAUCUUUAUCAUGGUCCUAGAAGAAAAAUGUACUGUCUUUAUUAGUACUUCAUAUUGCCAUUUUUCGGAGUGAUCUCAGAGGAUUUUAAGUAUCGUAACUCUAGAGAUGAUUGUUUUUAAAAGCUUACUGUUUUGUGGGAUUUGUGAUAUCACUUGAAAUAUAUUAGAUUAACUUUUCUGGGCUGUUUUAAAAUGUCAUGCUUGGGUUGCAUCACUUUCUUGUGCAGAUUGCCGCAGAGAUUCUAGUGAAGAUUAACCUUACUUGAGAUGGUGAUUUUGAGGAAAGGUUACGGAAUUAUGAUUUGUUUGGUAGGAAGGAUUAGGCCCAUGUUUGACUACCAUUAUUUGGGGAAAAUGGAGUCUUGAAU